GCGGGAGUAGCCAAGACCGGUCAAAGGCGGCGGACUUAAGAUCCGCUCUUGCAGAAGUUCGCGGGUUCAAGUCCCGCCUCCCGCACCA
rnacentral:tRNA from 1 species